UUACGGGAGGCAGCAGUGGGGAAUCUUGCACAAUGGGGGCAACCCUGAUGCAGCGACGCCGCGUGAACGAUGAAGCCCUUCGGGGUGUAAAGUUCUUUCGGCAGGAACGAUAAUGACGGUACCUGCAGAAGAAGCUGCGGCUAACUACGUGCCAGCAGCCGCGGUAAUACGUAGGCAGCAAGCGUUGUUCGGAGUUACUGGGCGUAAAGAGUAUGUAGGCGGUUCUGCAAGUUCGGUGUGAAAUCUCCCGGCUUAACUGGGAGGGUGCGCCGAAAACUGCAAGGCUAGAGUGCGGGAGAGGAAAGCGGAAUUCCUGGUGUAGCGGUGAAAUGCGUAGAUAUCAGGAGGAACACCGGCGGUGUAGACGGCUUUCUGGACCGUGACUGACGCUGAGAUACGAAAGCGUGGGGAGCAAACAGGAUUAGAUACCCCGGUAGUCCA
rnacentral:rRNA from 1 species